CAUGCAAGUCGAACGGAGCUUAGAGAGCUUGCUUUUUAAGCUUAGUGGCGAACGGGUGAGUAACGCGUGAGUAACCUGCCCUAGAGUGGGGGACAACAGUUGGAAACGACUGCUAAUACCGCAUAAGCCCACGGUGCCGCAUGACACUGAGGGAAAAGGAUUUAUUCGCUUUAGGAUGGACUCGCGUCCAAUUAGCUAGUUGGUGAGGUAACGGCCCACCAAGGCGACGAUUGGUAGCCGGACUGAGAGGUUGAACGGCCACAUUGGGACUGAGACACGGCCCAGACUCCUACGGGAGGCAGCAGUGGGGGAUAUUGCACAAUGGGGGAAACCCUGAUGCAGCGACGCCGCGUGGAGGAAGAAGGUUUUCGGAUUGUAAACUCCUGUCGUUAGGGACGAUAAUGACGGUACCUAACAAGAAAGCACCGGCUAACUACGUGCCAGCAGCCGCGGUAAAACGUAGGGUGCAAGCGUUGUCCGGAAUUACUGGGUGUAAAGGGAGCGCAGGCGGGAAGACAAGUUGGAAGUGAAAACCAUGGGCUCAACCCAUGAAUUGCUUUCAAAACUGUUUUUCUUGAGUAGUGCAGAGGUAGAUGGAAUUCCCGGUGUAGCGGUGGAAUGCGUAGAUAUCGGGAGGAACACCAGUGGCGAAGGCGGUCUACUGGGCACCAACUGACGCUGAGGCUCGAAAGCAUGGGUAGCAAACAGG
rnacentral:rRNA from 1 species